GCUGGUUGUGGUGGUGCAUACCUGUAAUCCCAGCAGCUCAGGAGGCUGAGGCAGGAGGAUCAGAGUAUGAAGCCAGUCUCAGCAACUUAUUGAGGCUGUAAAGCAACCUAGUGAGAGCCUGUCUCAA
rnacentral:sRNA from 1 species